rnacentral:rRNA from 1 species
AACGAACGCUGGCGGCAGGCCUAACACAUGCAAGUCGAGCGGACCCUUCGGGGUUAGCGGCGGACGGGUGAGUAACGCGUGGGAAUAUGCCCUUCUCUACGGAAUAGUCCUGGGAAACUGGGGGUAAUACCGUAUACGCCCUUUGGGGGUAAGAUUUAUCGGGGAAGGAUUAGCCCGCGUUGGAUUAGGUAGUUGGUGGGGUAAUGGCCUACCAAGCCGACGAUCCAUAGCUGGUUUGAGAGGAUGAUCAGCCACACUGGGACUGAGACACGGCCCAGACUCCUACGGGAGGCAGCAGUGGGGAAUCUUAGACAAUGGGGGCAACCCUGAUCUAGCCAUGCCGCGUGAGUGAUGAAGGCCUUAGGGUUGUAAAGCUCUUUCAGCUGGGAAGAUAAUGACGGUACCAGCAGAAGAAGCCCCGGCUAACUCCGUG